rnacentral:rRNA from 1 species
AGUGAACGCUGGCGGUAGGCCUAACACAUGCAAGUCGAACGGCAGCACAGUAAGAGCUUGCUCUUACGGGUGGCGAGUGGCGGACGGGUGAGGAAUACAUCGGAAUCUACUUUUUCGUGGGGGAUAACGUAGGGAAACUUACGCUAAUACCGCAUACGACCUACGGUUGAAAGCAGGGGAUCUUCGUACCUUGCGCGAUUGAAUGAGCCGAUGUCGGAUUAGCUAGUUGGCGGGGUAAAGGCCCACCAAGGCGACGAUCCGUAGCUGGUCUGAGAGGAUGAUAAGCCACACUGGAACUGAGACACGGUCCAGACUCCUACGGGAGGCAGCAGUGGGGAAUAUUGGACAAUGGGCGCAAGCCUGAUCCAGCCAUACCGCGUGGGUGAAGAAGGCCUUCGGGUUGUAAAGCCCUUUUGUUGGGAAAGAAAAGCAGCAGGUUAACACCCCGCUGUUCUGACGGUACCCAAAGAAUAAGCACCGGCUAACUUCGUG